GUUAGUCACACUGCUGUAAAUCACGCGUGCUCGAGACGGAGGGAAGAUUGUUCUUGGUGUUUGCUAUAAUUUGUGCUUAUUGUGUGCGUUAUUGACAAGAAACCACACAUACACACAAACACACCUAUCAUCACACCAAUUAUAAAUGCUUGGAAGUUCUACAUCCAUCAACCAGAUUAAAGUUUGUUUUUUGAGAACUGGACUGUUGCACCUCUUUUUAAUAGAAGAGCAUGGCUGGAAAGCAGGAGCUAGUGUAACGCACACAGCAAAUAACUGGACACAGAGAAGACAGAACAAGCACAUAAUCUCCUCCACCUCCUCCUCCUCUUCUUCUUCUUGUGUGGCGAGUUACAGAGAGCAGCGUAAAGCUGAAUACUGGAGAGUGUAUAAUAAUAAUAUGUGUACAGUUUGGUCAAAUCAGUGUCAUAGAGCUCAAUGUAGAUUUGUAGAAAAUAAAAUGACUGCUUUCCCAUAUAUUAUCUAAUCUUUCUUCAUGAAGUCUAGCGCAGCUUGUGUUAUAUUCCCCAUGUGUGACUGCUCUGAUGAGAACAGCUCAGGCAUUGAGAGGAUCAGGAGUUGUCCUGUUGUGUCGCUGCACUGAUAAUCCUCUCGUGUGUAACUGCAGAUGAAAGCAUCGUGUCUCUGUAGUGGUUUAAAGAUCAAUAUGAUCAUUAAAAUAUAAUGUUAAAUAAAUUGGAAUUAUUAAAAAUAAAUAAAUACAAAGAAGAGUUAAAAUCGAUAUGAUUUACACAACGAUGUGUUGCUCUUUGUAUUGAAUAACUGCCUGAGAAAAUGACUUGGAGUGUCCGCUAGGGGGUGAUCUAGAGCUGCAGAUAGUAGGCGUUGUUUAACUGCACUGUGGCCUUUUUUGUUUGUUUUUAAUUGCAUAACUGUCAGAAACAAACACACAACACAACACAAAUAAUGAAACACACAAAAAAUAAUACAACAAUGGUAAAAGUCAACAAAAA
ensembl:processed_transcript